rnacentral:rRNA from 1 species
CACUCCUACGGGAGGCAGCAGUGGGGAAUUUUGGACAAUGGGCGAAAGCCUGAUCCAGCCAUGCCGCGUGCAGGAUGAAGGCCUUCGGGUUGUAAACUGCUUUUGUACGGAACGAAACGGCCUUUUCUAAUAAAGAGGGCUAAUGACGGUACCGUAAGAAUAAGCACCGGCUAACUACGUGCCAGCAGCCGCGGUAAUACGUAGGGUGCAAGCGUUAAUCGGAAUUACUGGGCGUAAAGCGUGCGCAGGCGGUUAUGUAAGACAGUUGUGAAAUCCCCGGGCUCAACCUGGGAACUGCAUCUGUGACUGCAUAGCUAGAGUACGGUAGAGGGGGAUGGAAUUCCGCGUGUAGCAGUGAAAUGCGUAGAUAUGCGGAGGAACACCGAUGGCGAAGGCAAUCCCCUGGACCUGUACUGACGCUCAUGCACGAAAGCGUGGGGAGCAAACAGGAUUAGAAACCCUAGUAGUCCCA